rnacentral:tRNA from 1 species
GCCUUCUUAGCUUAGUUGGUAGAGCACCCGCUUAGUAAGCGGGAGGUCGUCGGUUCAACCCCCGCAGAAGGCU